UACAGAGGGGGCAAGCGUUAUUCGGAAUUAUUGGGCGUAAAGGGCGCGUAGGCGGCAUGGCAAGUGGAUGGUGAAAUCCCUCGGCUUAACCGAGGAACUGCCGUCCAAACUGCUUCGCUUGAGACCGGGAGAGGUGAGUGGAAUUCCCAGUGUAGCGGUGAAAUGCGUAGAUAUUGGGAAGAACACCCGUGGCGAAGGCGGCUCUCUGGGACGGUACUGACGCUGAGACGCGAAAGCGUGGGGAGCGAACAGG
rnacentral:rRNA from 1 species